AUGAACGCUGGCGGCGUGCCUAAUACCUGCAAGUCGCGCGCACAGACGAGGAGCUUGCUCCUCUGACGUUAGCGGCGGACGGGUGAGUAACACGUGGAUAACCUACCUAUAAGACUGGGAUAACUUCGGGAAACCGGAGCUAAUACCGGAUAAUAUAUUGAACCGCAUGGUUCAAUAGUGAAAGACGGUUUUGCUGUCACUUAUAGAUGGAUCCGCGCCGCAUUAGCUAGUUGGUAAGGUAACGGCUUACCAAGGCAACGAUGCGUAGCCGACCUGAGAGGGUGAUCGGCCACACUGGAACUGAGACACGGUCCAGACUCCUACGGGAGGCAGCAGUAGGGAAUCUUCCGCAAUGGGCGAAAGCCUGACGGAGCAACGCCGCGUGAGUGAUGAAGGUCUUCGGAUCGUAAAACUCUGUUAUUAGGGAAGAACAAAUGUGUAAGUAACUAUGCACGUCUUGACGGUACCUAAUCAGAAAGCCACGGCUAACUACGU
rnacentral:rRNA from 1 species